rnacentral:misc_RNA from 1 species
AAGCCGUACCAAGGUAACCGUAGGUGAACCUGCGGUUUGAUCAUUAAAAAAAAACAGGAACCACCGUGUUCCCAACACCCUGUGCACCAUUGUCUGUCUCUGGUGGAAUCAGAGGGUUCUUGCUGGAACUCGUUCCGGCAACCUCCCUCCUCCACCAAAGGUGCGUCUCCGUAAGGAGGCGCUACCGAAGCAAACCUUAUGAGUGAAUCUUUUUGUCUGAUGCGUUUUCGCCACCUUCACAGGGGAACGAAUUCAACAAGAACUUUUGACAACAGAUCUCUUGGCUCUC